CGAACUGGCAUCGGCUUCAGG
rnacentral:misc_RNA from 1 species